rnacentral:sRNA from 1 species
GGCUAGGUAACAUAAUGGAAAUGUAUCGGACUGCAAAUCCUGGAAUGACGGUU